rnacentral:rRNA from 1 species
AGGGGAUUCCGAGCUAACUCCCAACCCAAUGUGAACGUUACCAAUCUGUUGCCUCGGCGGGAUUCUCUGCCCCGGGCGCGUCGCAGCCCCGGAUCCCAUGGCGCCCGCCGGAGGACCAACUCAAACUCUUUUUUCUCUCCGUCGCGGCCUACGUCGCGGCUCUGUUUUAUUUUUGCUCUGAGCCUUUCUCGGCGACCCUAGCGGGCGUCUCGAAAAUGAAUCAAAACUUUCAACAACGGAUCUCUUGGUUCUGGCAUCGAUGAAGAACGCAGCGAAAUGCGAUAAGUAAUGUGAAUUGCAGAAUUCAGUGAAUCAUCGAAUCUUUGAACGCACAUUGCGCCCGCCAGUAUUCUGGCGGGCAUGCCUGUCCGAGCGUCAUUUCAACCCUCGAACCCCUCCGGGGGGUCGGCGUUGGGGAUCGGCCCCUCACCGGGCCGCCCCCGAAAUACAGUGGCGGUCUCGCCGCAGCCUCUCCUGCGCAGUAGUUUGCACACUCGCACCGGGAGCGCGGCGCGGCCACAGCCGUAAAACACCCCAAACUCUGAAAUGUUGACCUCGGAUCAGGUAGGAAUACCCGCUGAACUUAAGCAUAUCAAUAAGCGGAGGAA